AGACUAAUUAAUUCCCUUCAGCUUGAGCUUUCUGGGGCAGAUAAAAAGACUUCCAGAAUUUUACUUUUCUGAAUAGAUCUUAUUUUGGAUUAAAAAUUAUGUUGUGUUUUCAGCUUACUACCUGCCCAAGGAUGAUGAGUAUUACCAGUUCUGCUAUGUGGAUCAGGAUGGUGUGGUCCGGGGAGCAAGUAUUCCUUUCCAAUUCCGUCCAGAAAAUGAGGAAGACAUCCUGGUUGUUACUACUCAGGGAGAGGUGGAAGAGAUUGAGCAGCACAACAAGGAGCUUUGCAAAGAAAACCAGGAGCUGAAGGACAACUGUGUCAGCCUCCAGAAGCAGAACUCAGACAUGCAGGCCGAGCUCCAAAAGAAGCAGGAGGAGCUAGAAACUCUACAGAGCAUCAAUAAGAAGUUGGAACUGAAAGUGAAAGAACAGAAGGACUAUUGGGAGACAGAGCUGCUUCAACUGAAAGAACAAAACCAGAAGAUGUCCUCAGAAAAUGAGAAGAUGGGAAUCAUAGUGGAUCAGCUUCAGGCCCAGCUGUCAACUCAAGAGAAAGAAAUGGAGAAGCUUGUUCAGGGAGAUCAAGAUAAGACAGAGCAGUUAGAGCAACUGAAAAAGGAAAAUGACCACCUCUUUCUCAGUUUAACUGAACAGAGGAAGGACCAGAAGAAGCUCGAGCAGACAGUGGAGCAAAUGAAGCAGAAUGAAACUACUGCAAUGAAGAAACAACAGGAAUUAAUGGCAUGUCUGUCCUUGGAUGGUUA
rnacentral:sRNA from 1 species